rnacentral:rRNA from 1 species
GAUGAACGCUAGCGGCAGGCCUAAUACAUGCAAGUCGGACGGGAUUGGGGAGCUUGCUCCCCAUGAGAGUGGCGCACGGGUGCGUAACACGUAUGUAACCUACCCUUGUCAGGGGGAUAGCCUCUCGAAAGAGAGAUUAAGACCGCAUAACAUUACAAUGUGGCAUCACAAAGUAAUCAAAUAUUUAUAGGACAAGGAUGGGCAUGCGGAACAUUAGCAGUUGGUAAGGUAACGGCUUACCAAGGCUACGAUGUUUAGGGGAUCUGAGAGGAUGACCCCCCACACUGGUA